GGGCAGUGCAAGAAGAAAUAACCAAGCCUCUAGAUAAUGUGCUCAAGUUAAAUUACUCGAUGUUGAUGGAUCCUUUCGGCUAAAUGAGAAGGCCAGGAGCUGGGGCUUCCAACGUGAUAGUGAUGGACCAUUUGGGCCGGUUUGAUGUAAGCACUAUUGGUCCAUGGGCUGGACUGCAGGUUACUAGCUAGUUGGGCUUUGUACUAAGAAAUUGAUGAACAAUGUUCACGAGCCCAGGCCCAGGUUUGCAGAAUCUUCCUUUUUGCUUUCUCCCAUUCCACGGCCCAUGGCGACUGUAGUCAGGCAGUCAUAUAGGUCAGUUUCCUCCUACAAUAAUACUAUACUUACACAUAUACUAUUUGAGACUUAUAUAUAUAGAAAAAAUGGAGAAAAAACUAGACAUGAAUGAGGAAAUUUGUACAAGUAAAAAAUGCACGUACUGGAUAGGUACCACAUUUUUUUUCAUUUCUGGAUCGGAGCAUAUAUAUAUGUAUGUACAACAUUUCAGUGCAGGCCACUAUUUAUACUUUGGUAGCAGGGCUCAAAGAGCUAACAGUUCAAUGAUAACCAACACAUGUAUGAAUUGGAGAGAUGAAAGUAAGUUGUACAUGAAUACGUAGUACAAUAAGUUGGAAGGUGAAAUAUAUGUAUAUGAUCAUUAUAUAUCAAAUUCAAAUAAUGUUGUAUAUACAUAUACCACAAAUCAAUAUAUCAAAUUCGAAUAAUGCCUCACAUUAUGUUGGAGCAGGUUGAAAUUCAUAUCAAACUGACCAUACAUACAACGCCUCACAUGACUUGAUCGACGACUAUUCUAACUUGUUCUCACUGAAUGCGUAUUUUUAUAUUAUGCCAACCAAGUCUAGCCAACCACGACGUACGACUGUAGGCAGUCAUAUAUAGAAAAAAAGGGAGAAAAACCUAGACAUUAAAACGCACUGGAUAGGUACCAUAUUUUUCAUUUCUGGAUCGGAGCAUGUAUAUAUGUACAACAUUUCACUGCAGGCCACUAUUUACACUAGGUAGCGCGCAGGGCUCAAAGAGCACUCCGAUGAUAACCAACGUAUGGGAGAGAUGAAUGUAAGUUGUACAUGGGUUGUACUAUAAGUUGAAGGUCAAAUAUGUAUAUGAUCAAUAUAUGUAUCAAAUUCAAAUAAUGUUGAUAUAACACAAAUAUCUAUACAUUGACAAAAAAACAUAAUCAUAUCGACAUGACAAGGUUUUUUAAUUCACAAAAAAAUAUAUGUCAAAAAUAUUGAACUAGUUAUAGAGGCAAGUAGGCAACAGGCAUGGAUUAGGAUUAUAAAUAUUAUGACUUAUAUAUGAGAAGCUAAAAUAGUAGCUUCUACCAUUUUGGCAUUUUGGGGGUACCUACGACACAGAAAGCCAAAUUAACAGGGGAUACAAUGUAUACUCAAAGUUUGUAAUCAUAUAUUCCGAUUGAAUAAAGAAUACAAUUAAUUCAAUGACGAGAUCACGAGAAUUAAAUACAAAAAUGGAGUGGUUAGUUUGAGUUUGAAUCUUUAGGGAUGUAAACAAAUAAUUAAAACAUAAGAUGAUCGACUAAUGUGAACAAUGAGAAAUAGUAGAUGAUCGAAUUUAUCAAAUGAGAGAUAUAUGAGGGCCCAUAGAAGGCCUCAAUGCAAAUGACCUGACUGGUAUGCUUAUUAUUCUCACUGAAUGACUGGAUGCACAUUUUUAUGUACUAGUGUGGACUGUAGACAAACAUAAGACUGCAGGCAGUCAUAUACAGAUCAGCUUCCUUACAGAGAGUAAAUUGUACAUGAGUAGUAAUAAACAUCGAAGGUCAAAUAUGCAUAUAUAUGAUCAAUACAUAAUAAUUAAAUUCAAAUAAUUGUGUUUAUACAUUUAUAUAUAAUCAUAUCAACAUAAUAACAUCCUCAAUGACAAUGUUUUUUAAUUAACAAAAACUAAGAUUUAUAUGUUAAAAACAUUAAACUAUAGGCAGGCAUGCAUCAGACAUUGCUAUGAGAAGCUCAGAUAGGUCCUAGUAUAUAUACCAUUUUGGGGGCACAGGACAUCUGCAGCCGACUGAAAUGAAAGCCUAACUGACAGGGAUCCAAAUAUACACUCAACUUUGUAAUUAAUCUGAUUGAAUGGACUACAAUCAUCAAUAGUUCUGUAUGUGAUGAAUGAAAUAUAACGAAAUGGAGUGGUUAGUUUGAGUUUGGAUAUUAAUCUUAGGGCUGUCAAAAAUUGAAACAUGUGGUCGCAUCUAGCUAGCCGUGCGCGCGAGUGCACGAAACGGCCGGCGAUGAUACUGCACUAAUUAAUGUGAGCAAUGAGAAAUGCUAGACAUAUCGAUCAAAUAUAUGUGUGUGUGUGUGUGUGUGUGUGUGAGAGAGAGAGAGAGAGAGAGAGAGAGAGAGAGAGAGAGAGAGAGAGAGAGCGAGAGAGAGAGAUGUAUGAGGGCCAUGCUUGGCACCUCGCACGCCAGCCGCAGCGGCCACCGAGAUCGAUCGAUGAUCUUGGGGUGGUAGCCGUGCGAGUGGCAUACAGGGAGCCAGGCAUAUUCCCUAGCUUUCACCUCUUCCUCCACCUCCAUGUCCUGUGCCGCGCGCCAUUGCUUGCUUGCUUAUACACCUUCCAAUAAUGUGCCAUGGCAUACAAGCGCCCUCAUAUUCUUUGUUUCCUCUAGCUCCCCUUGCAAGCUCAUAUGGCGCACACACGCAUAUCUGAACUAGAACUACACACGGCGAGGGAGAGAUCGAAUAAUGGAAAAUGGAGACUAGCUAGCUCGCUUAGAGGAAGACGAUGAAGCUUGUUGAGGCUGUUGAGUGAUGGUGUUGUUUGGCAAGAAGUUGCAUAUAUAUAUAUAGCUCCCGGCCCCAGGGUGGAGGUGAGGUCCCCCAACAUGCAUGCAUACCCUGC
rnacentral:lncRNA from 1 species